UACAGAGGUCUCGAGCGUUAGGCGGAAUCACUGGGCUUAAAGCGUGUGUAGGCGGAGUGCUAAGUACCUUGUGAAAUCCCACAGCUCAACUGUGGAACUGCUUGGUAUACUGGUUCUCUUGAGCCCAUCUAGGGGGCUACCGGAACAAAUGGUGGAGCGGUGAAAUGCGUAGAUAUCAUUUGGAACGCCAAUGGUGAAAACAGGUAGCUGGGGAUGUGCUGACGCUGAGACACGAAAGCCAGGGGAGCAAACGGG
rnacentral:rRNA from 1 species